UACGUAGGGUGCAAGCGUUGUCCGGAAUUAUUGGGCGUAAAGAGCUCGUAGGUGGCCUGUCGCGUCGGCUGUGAAAACUCGGGGCUCAACUCCGAGCUUGCAGUCGAUACGGGCAGGCUAGAGUUCGGCAGGGGAGACUGGAAUUCCUGGUGUAGCGGUGAAAUGCGUAGAUAUCUGGAGGAACACCGGUGGCGAAGGCGGCAUCCUGGACCAAUUCUGACGCUGAGG
rnacentral:rRNA from 1 species